GAACGACCGUGCGAACGUUAUUCGGAAUCAUUGGGCUUAAAGGGCGCGUAGGCGGCGGUGUAAGUUGGAAGUGAAAUCCCAUCGGCUCAACCGUGGAAUUGCUCCCAGUACUGCAUCGCUCGAGGGGGAUAGGGGUUUGCGGAACUACCGGUGGAGCGGUGAAAUGUGUUGAUAUCGGUGGGAACGCCAGUGGCGAAAGCGGCAAACUUGACCCUUCCUGACGCUGAGGCGCGAAAGCUAGGGGAGCAAACGGG
rnacentral:rRNA from 1 species